rnacentral:misc_RNA from 1 species
AAGUCGUAACAAGGUUUCCGUAGGUGAACCUGCGGAAGGAUCAUUACCGAACUUUAGGCUGGAAGAUGCUUAAAUUCCACACCAUGUUUUAAGCCGAAGGCGCGAGCCGGACGCGAACACAUAUUUUAUUCACUGAAUAAAUCAAAACUUUCAACAACGGAUCUCUUGGUUCUG